rnacentral:rRNA from 1 species
UACGUAGGGUGCGAGCGUUAAUCGGAAUUACUGGGCGUAAAGCGUGCGCAGGCGGUGAUGUAAGACAGAUGUGAAAUCCCCGGGCUCAACCUGGGAACUGCAUUUGUGACUGCAUCGCUGGAGUGCGGCAGAGGGGGAUGGAAUUCCGCGUGUAGCAGUGAAAUGCGUAGAUAUUGGGAGGAACACCGGUGGCGAAGGCGGCCCCCUGGACCGGUACUGACGCUGAGGCGCGAAAGCGUGGGUAGCAAACGGG